CUAAUCUUGGUGUGCACAUAAGUGAAGACACAAACAUAUUAGAGUUACAAUUUAAAUUGAUUAACUCAAUAUGCUGUACUCUUUAAAAUUGUUCAUGGCACCAUUCUCUUAAUCUCAGUCUUAACUAAACAAGUUAAAACAUUAUAUUCAAUCUUGGGAAGAUGACAAUCAUACUUAUUUGAAUAUUUAUAUAGAGAUAGACAAUCCUUCCAUUGGUUAAGCAAUUUCAUUCUUUUCUGUCAUGUGAACUUAAAUGCAACAUUAAGUGCUUAAUCUUUUGAUCUUACCACUCAUAAAUAAAUAAAUCAUGUAACCCAACUUUAUCUUGUUUAAUGUGCCUAAGGAUGGAGAAAAAUAAAUAAAGAAAUAGAUUUGGUUGUGUUGGCGUUUUUCCACCACCAGAGCCCAUGCACUUGAUCUCUACGUUAGUUUUGCAAACAGGACAACACAUCAAGCAAAGUUUAUUAAUUCUACAAGUGAAAGUUCUAUGAACAUGCACACUGAGCAAGAUGCUGCCAGCUACUAUUAAAAUUCUCCUUCAACCUGCUGGCCAAAUCAAAAAACAAAGGUGACAUCAUCAUCCCUGGAGGUAUGCAACUAACAAGACCUCCAUCUCUCAAAAUGGAGAGAUACACAAGAGUGGAAGAAGAAGUCCAGUUCGAAGGACUACAAAACAUCGAACCCUCGCCGCAACACUUGCUCUUAUAAGCAUGAGCCCCUCCAUGAGGACCGCUCAACUUCAACGAGGGAGAAAGAGAAUAAAGCUAAAAGCCGGAGCCAGAAAAGAGAGAAGCAAAAGAGAUAGAAGCAAGAUGGAAGAAGGCACGUGCGGCAUCACCAUGAAAUGGGGAAUUGACUAUGGUUACCUCAGACAAUAAACCCACUGAGUAAGUUUCCUCCUCGAUCUAAGUCCUUUUGGUUGAAUUUAAGUUCUGUACCCUAGCCAUAAGGUUAGAAUGUUUGUUAUCUCUUGAAAUGCAUUUGUAAUUUAUUUAGUAGUAUAAUUUUGUCUACACACUAAAAGAUAUAAAAACAACAAAAAAAAUUUACUGCAUUACUCAUGGCAUCACAAGCCCCAUGUGGAUACCCUAUGGUAUUUUCCGAAGGAACAUCUGCUAUGGUGGCAUAAAAUAAAAAAGACAAAAAAUAUAGCAUUUAAAUUCCUGCAUCACAAAUAGAAAAUUAAAAAAUAAGAGACAAUCGAAAUCCUGUUUAAAUUAGACAACAUUAAACUAGCUCUUAAAGGUGAUUAAUUACUCUUUGGCUGACUGCUAACCCAUUAACAAAUUCAAGCCUCGAGUUUUGGUUUUCUUUUUAGAGGGAUUAUGCAGUAAUAACAUUAUGUCAAGGAGAGAGUUUAUUAGUGGCACCCACGUGGAGCGCUACCGGUUAGCUCACGCUGAAGAUCAUCAACACCAACUAUUGCAAACAUCUAGCUUGGAAUAGGAGCAUCCCCUAGUUAUCAGGUACCCAGGCGAUUAUAGAGUCUAUUUUAUAUAGUCAUAAAAAUACCAAAAAUAUAUGGUUCACAUGAAGGUCCAUAUCUUUACAGUCUUCUGUGUCCAAUAGAAAUGAAUAGAAACCAAACAAAAUACUUAUCUAUAUAUUAAGGUGUGAUCAUAGAGUGUGUCUGCAGUCAGUCUAGUUUAGAGUCAAAUAAAAAUAGAGAAUAUGAAAAUUUUGUCUUGAAGAUGAUGAAUAAUUGCUCUACAGUAAUUGCUUUCAAGUGCCUAGUUUUCAACCAUGAAUUCUCUUGAGUUUUAGACAUGACCACUUUAAUAUAAGAAUUUACUCUGAACCUAAAAUUUGUGGAGACAUUUGUUUAAGCUGAGUCUAGGUAAUUGAUUUUAUACAUGAAGGUCUAAGCUGCUAUUUAUCUUAUUCCUAGCAUUACUAAGUUUUGGAGAUUUAUUUUCAAAAACCCAAAACCUUACAUGAUGAGCUCUUGUAUGAUAAAGUUCAAAUUCCUACCAAAGCCAUAUAUGAUACAUUUAGAGUUAGGAAAACCUUAGCACAUUCAUGCUGCUUGCUUUACAUUGAGUUUAGUCAACCUUUGGAGUAUACCUUAUGAGAGUCUUGUCAUACUUUUAAAAUCAAGAUCACUUACGCACUCCACUUACAUAUGCAUUGCUCCUACUUUUGGAGUAAGCACAAUUAUUUUCCAUUUUCAUCCAGAUCCACCUUAAAAAUGUUUUUUCUCCUACACUAGGAGUAAACACCCAAAAAUAUACCCUAUAGGACAGCCACCACUUAAUUGCUCUAAGUUCUUAUCAUUAUCUCUCCGAUUAUUUAUAUUCAAAGGAUGCAUGUGGCUAUGCAAAAGUAUUAAAAAAAUAAAAAAGGGAGUAAAAGAUGGACAAGUGUCCUAGCAAUUAAAACAAUGUUUACAUCGAUGCCCGCCUCCCAUAGUAAUGAAAAAAGGAGAAAGAGAGAAUAAAGAUAGCCCAUGUUUUCCUACAAAAAGUUCUAAGGCGGGAGUAAUUUUUAAAGAGCAAAAGUAGAAUUAGGAUUAGCCACUAAAUACUAUAUAUACACCUAUCCACC
rnacentral:lncRNA from 1 species